rnacentral:rRNA from 1 species
AAUCAACGCUGGCGGCGUGCCUCAGACAUGCAAGUCGAACGAUUAAAGCUCUCUUCGGAGAGUGCAUAGAGUGGCGCACGGGUGAGUAACACGUAAGUAAUCUACCUUCGAGUGGGGAAUAACGUACGGAAACGGACGCUGAUACAGCAUAAUGCAGCGGCAUCGCACGAGGACAGUGGUUAAAGAUUUAUCGCUUGAAGAGGAGCUUGCGGCAGAUUAGCUAGUGGGUAAGGUAAUGGCUUACCAAGGCUACGAUCUGUAACCGGUCUGAGAGGACGGUCGGUCACACUGACACUGAAUAACGGGUCAGACUCCUACGGGAGGCAGCAGUCGGGAAUUUUGGGCAAUGGGCGAAAGCCUGACCCAGCAACGCCGCGUGAAGGAUGAAGUAUUUCGGUAUGUAAACUUCGAAAGAAUGGGAAGAAUCAAUGACGGUACCAUUUAUAAGGUCCGGCUAACUACGUGCCAGCCGCCGCCGUAAAAC